rnacentral:antisense_RNA from 1 species
GAAACGAAAAAACCGCCUUGGCGGGCGGUUUUUCGAAGGUACUAGGAGUUGGCGCUCUUUGUACCUGGUAACGGCUCCGUGCGGGAAGCAGCUACCGAAUACCUGCCAAGUUUAGCGGCAAAUUGUCGUACCUUUCAAGCAUUCCCGCAUUUGACCCGUUACCGUUGGCCCCUGCCAAUGGCGAUUAGUCGUAUCCGCUCGAAUUGGAAGCAUGUUGAUGUUGUCGAGCGGGUGCAGGGGUCGGGCCGAACGGGGAAUCCUCACAUACGGCCCAGCGUGCGACGCGCACCAUAGCCUCCCAUGGCUCGCAACCAUGGGGCACCAGCACCGAGCGCAACGGGGAACCAACCACGGCCAGCUCGAUAAAAACGGCGCGGCAGUCCGGCCCACAGGUGGGGACUGAAGCAGGUGCAGAGUGGCAAGGUGUGUCUCAGGAGCGCGUGAGGGGGAGCUGCUGCAAGCAGCCUCGAUAGUCCUGAGCAAGGCGAGCUAUCCAG